rnacentral:rRNA from 1 species
AGCGAACGCUGGCGGCAGGCCUAACACAUGCAAGUCGAACGAACUCUUCGGAAUUAGUGGCGGACGGGGGUGGAACGCGGGGGAACGGGCCGGUUGGUUCGGGAUAACUCAGGUAAACUGGUGCUAAUACAGGAUGUGCCCUUCGGGGAAAAGAUUUAUCGCCAUUGGAGCGGCCCGCGUCUGAUUAGCUAGUUGGGGAGGUAACGGCUCACCAAGGCGACGCUCAGUAGCUGGUCUGAGAGGAUGACCAGCCACACUGGGACUGGGACACGGCCCAGACUACUACGGGAGGCAGGAGUGGGGAAUCUUGCGCAAUGGGCGAAAGCCUGACGCAGCCAGGCCGGGUGAAUGAUGUAGGUCUUAGGAUUGUAAAAUUCUUUCACCCGGGACGAUAAUGACGGUACCCGGAGAAGAAGCCCCGGCUAACUUCGUG